rnacentral:misc_RNA from 1 species
GAUGAAGAACGCAGCGAAAUGCGACACUUGGUGUGAAUUGCAGAAUCCCGUGAACCAUCGAGUCUUUGAACGCAAGUUGCGCCCGAAGCCAUUAGGCCGAGGGCACGCCUGCCUGGGCGUCACACGUCGUUGCCCCCCCAUCUACUCCUUCGGGAUUGCGGGGGGCGGAUGAUGGCCUCCCGUGCGCCUUGUCGCGCGGUUGGCAUAAAUGCCAAGUCCUCGGCGACGCACGCCACGACAAUCGGUGGUUGCGAAACCUCGGUUGCCCGUCGUGUGCGGUCGUCGCGCAUCGAGGGCUCGAAAAAAUUGUCGGGCUCCGGCUCGGCUUUCAACGCGACCCCAGGUCAGGCGGGGUUACCCGCUGAAUUUAAGCAUAUCAAUAAGCGGAGGA